rfam:Xenorhabdus bovienii SS-2004 chromosome, complete genome
AUAAUACUAAGGUGAAAUUCAGGAAAAAGUAAACGAUGAUCCAUUAUCAACUCUACGUUAGAAUAAUAGAUUAGCAGGCAAAAUAGAUAUGUGAACUUCAGGGUAUACUGUAGUUUGCUCUCUUUU